rnacentral:rRNA from 1 species
UUAAGCGACUAAGCGUACACGGUGGAUGCCCUGGCAGUCAGAGGCGAUGAAGGACGUGCUAAUCUGCGAUAAGCGUCGGUAAGGUGAUAUGAACCGUUAUAACCGGCGAUUUCCGAAUGGGGAAACCCAGUGUGAUUCGUCACACUAUCAUUAACUGAAUCCAUAGGUUAAUGAGGCGAACCGGGGGAACUGAAACAUCUAAGUACCCGAGGAAAAGAAAUCAACCGAGAUUCCCCCAGUAGCGGCGAGCGAACGGGGAGCAGCCCAGAGCCUGAAUCAGUGUGUGUGUUAGUGGAAGCGUCUGGAAAGGCGUGCGAUACAGGGUGACAGCCCCGUACACAAAAAUGCACAUAUUGUGAGCUCGAUGAGUAGGGCGGGACACGUGGUAUCCUGUCUGAAUAUGGGGGACCAUCCUCCAAGGCUAAAUACUCCUGACUGACCGAUAGUGAACCAGUACCGUGAGGGAAAGGCGAAAAGAACCCCGGCGAGGGGAGUGAAAAAGAACCUGAAACCGUGUACGUACAAGCAGUGGGAGCACGCUUAGGCGUGUGACUGCGUACCUUUUGUAUAAUGGGUCAGCGACUUAUAUUCUGUAGCAAGGUUAACCGAAUAGGGGAGCCGAAGGGAAACCGAGUCUUAACUGGGCGUUAAGUUGCAGGGUAUAGACCCGAAACCCGGUGAUCUAGCCAUGGGCAGGUUGAAGGUUGGGUAACACUAACUGGAGGACCGAACCGACUAAUGUUGAAAAAUUAGCGGAUGACUUGUGGCUGGGGUGAAAGGCCAAUCAAACCGGGAGAUAGCUGGUUCUCCCCGAAAGCUAUUUAGGUAGCGCCUCGUGAAUUCAUCUCCGGGGUAGAGCACUGUUUCGGCAAGGGGGUCAUCCCGACUUACCAACCCGAUGCAAACUGCGAAUACCGGAGAAUGUUAUCACGGGAGACACACGGCGGGUGCUAACGUCCGUCGUGAAGAGGGAAACAACCCAGACCGCCAGCUAAGGUCCCAAAGUCAUGGUUAAGUGGGAAACGAUGUGGGAAGGCCCAGACAGCCAGGAUGUUGGCUUAGAAGCAGCCAUCAUUUAAAGAAAGCGUAAUAGCUCACUGGUCGAGUCGGCCUGCGCGGAAGAUGUAACGGGGCUAAACCAUGCACCGAAGCUGCGGCAGCGACACUAUGUGUUGUUGGGUAGGGGAGCGUUCUGUAAGCCUGUGAAGGUGUACUGUGAGGUAUGCUGGAGGUAUCAGAAGUGCGAAUGCUGACAUAAGUAACGAUAAAGCGGGUGAAAAGCCCGCUCGCCGGAAGACCAAGGGUUCCUGUCCAACGUUAAUCGGGCAGGGUGAGUCGACCCCUAAGGCGAGGCCGAAAGGCGUAGUCGAUGGGAAACAGGUUAAUAUUCCUGUACUUGGUGUUACUGCGAAGGGGGACGGAGAAGGCUAUGUUGGCCGGGCGACGGUUGUCCCGGUUUAAGCGUGUAGGCUGGUUUUCCAGGCAAAUCCGGAAAACUAAGGCUGAGGCGUGAUGACGAGGCACUACGGUGCUGAAGCAACAAAUGCCCUGCUUCCAGGAAAAGCCUCUAAGCAUCAGGUAACAUCAAAUCGUACCCCAAACCGACACAGGUGGUCAGGUAGAGAAUACCAAGGCGCUUGAGAGAACUCGGGUGAAGGAACUAGGCAAAAUGGUGCCGUAACUUCGGGAGAAGGCACGCUGAUAUGUAGGUGAAGUCCCUCGCGGAUGGAGCUGAAAUCAGUCGAAGAUACCAGCUGGCUGCAACUGUUUAUUAAAAACACAGCACUGUGCAAACACGAAAGUGGACGUAUACGGUGUGACGCCUGCCCGGUGCCGGAAGGUUAAUUGAUGGGGUCAGCGCAAGCGAAGCUCUUGAUCGAAGCCCCGGUAAACGGCGGCCGUAACUAUAACGGUCCUAAGGUAGCGAAAUUCCUUGUCGGGUAAGUUCCGACCUGCACGAAUGGCGUAAUGAUGGCCAGGCUGUCUCCACCCGAGACUCAGUGAAAUUGAACUCGCUGUGAAGAUGCAGUGUACCCGCGGCAAGACGGAAAGACCCCGUGAACCUUUACUAUAGCUUGACACUGAACAUUGAGCCUUGAUGUGUAGGAUAGGUGGGAGGCUUUGAAGUGUGGACGCCAGUCUGCAUGGAGCCGACCUUGAAAUACCACCCUUUAAUGUUUGAUGUUCUAACGUUGACCCGUAAUCCGGGUUGCGGACAGUGUCUGGUGGGUAGUUUGACUGGGCGGUCUCCUCCUAAAGAGUAACGGAGGAGCACGAAGGUUGGCUAAUCCUGGUCGGACAUCAGGAGGUUAGUGCAAUGGCAUAAGCCAGCUUGACUGCGAGCGUGACGGCGCGAGCAGGUGCGAAAGCAGGUCAUAGUGAUCCGGUGGUUCUGAAUGGAAGGGCCAUCGCUCAACGGAUAAAAGGUACUCCGGGGAUAACAGGCUGAUACCGCCCAAGAGUUCAUAUCGACGGCGGUGUUUGGCACCUCGAUGUCGGCUCAUCACAUCCUGGGGCUGAAGUAGGUCCCAAGGGUAUGGCUGUUCGCCAUUUAAAGUGGUACGCGAGCUGGGUUUAGAACGUCGUGAGACAGUUCGGUCCCUAUCUGCCGUGGGCGCUGGAGAACUGAGGGGGGCUGCUCCUAGUACGAGAGGACCGGAGUGGACGCAUCACUGGUGUUCGGGUUGUCAUGCCAAUGGCACUGCCCGGUAGCUAAAUGCGGAAGAGAUAAGUGCUGAAAGCAUCUAAGCACGAAACUUGCCCCGAGAUGAGUUCUCCCUGACUCCUUGAGAGUCCUGAAGGAACGUUGAAGACGACGACGUUGAUAGGCCGGGUGUGUAAGCGCAGCGAUGCGUUGAGCUAACCGGUACUAAUGAACCGUGAGGCUUAACCUU